rnacentral:ncRNA from 1 species
CAGUAUCUUGGCCAGGUAGGGAAUGAGCGGCAGGUUGAGGAUCAGCAGCACCACGUUGCCCAGAUACAUGGAGAUGAUCACCGACCAGAAGACAUCCGGGUGCUCCAUGAAGAGGCGCGGGCC